GGAAUAUUGGACAAUGGGCGCAAGCCUGAUCCAGCCAUGCCGCGUGCAGGAUGACGGUCCUAUGGAUUGUAAACUGCUUUUGUACAGGAAGAAACCGCUCUACGUGUAGAGCCUUGACGGUACUGUAAGAAUAAGGAUCGGCUAACUCCGUGCCAGCAGCCGCGGUAAUACGGAGGAUCCAAGCGUUAUCCGGAAUCAUUGGGUUUAAAGGGUCCGUAGGCGGUUUAGUAAGUCAGUGGUGAAAGCCCAUCGCUCAACGGUGGAACGGCCAUUGAUACUGCUAAACUUGAAUUAUUAGGAAGUAACUAGAAUAUGUAGUGUAGCGGUGAAAUGCUUAGAGAUUACAUGGAAUACCAAUUGCGAAGGCAGGUUACUACUAAUGGAUUGACGCUGAUGGACGAAAGCGUGGGUAGCGAACAGGAUUAGAUACCCCAG
rnacentral:rRNA from 1 species